rnacentral:rRNA from 1 species
CCUGGCUCAGAUUGAACGCUGUUUGCAGUCCUAACACAUGCAAGUCGAGCGGCAGCGGGAAAGUAGCUUGCUACUUUUGCCGGCGAGCGNCGGACGGGUGAGUAAUGCCUGGGGAUCUGCCCAGUCGAGGGGGAUAACAGUUGGAAACGACUGCUAAUACCGCAUACGCCCUACGGGGGAAAGGAGGGGACCUUCGGGCCUUUCGCGAUUGGAUGAACCCAGGUGGGAUUAGCUAGUUGGUGGGGUAAUGGCUCACCAAGGCGACGAUCCCUAGCUGGUCUGAGAGGAUGAUCAGCCACACUGGAACUGAGACACGGUCCAGACUCCUACGGGAGGCAGCAGUGGGGAAUAUUGCACAAUGGGGGAAACCCUGAUGCAGCCAUGCCGCGUGUGUGAAGAAGGCCUUCGGGUUGUAAAGCACUUUCAGCGAGGAGGAAAGGUUGGCGCCUAAUACGUGUCAACCUGUGACGUACUCGCA